rnacentral:misc_RNA from 1 species
UAGAGAAAUUCAAGUUCAUAUGGUUACUCGGAGUAAAAUGGUGGUGGUGAUGAUGAUCAGAACUAAAUUGACCUAAAGGAGACAUGAAACGAAGAGGCGGAAUUUGAGGGGACAUAAGCCCUAACAAACUAGCUGCUGAUGUUGGACCCGAAAAACUGUUACUAUGAGAUGAAAUUGUAGUUGAAGAACCCGAGUUGUUAGUACCUUGACGACCAUCAGUACUAGUACUAGAAGCCGGAGAUUUAGAACUAUUAUUAUUGUUGUUGUUGUUGGUA